UACGGAGGAUGCGAGCGUUAUCCGGAUUUAUUGGGUUUAAAGGGUGCGUAGGCGGACGCUUAAGUCAGCGGUAAAAUUGCGGGGCUCAACCUCGUCGAGCCGUUGAAACUGGGUGCCUUGAGUGGGCGAGAAGUACGCGGAAUGCGUGGUGUAGCGGUGAAAUGCAUAGAUAUCACGCAGAACUCAGAUUGCGAAGGCAGCGUACCGGCGCCCAACUGACGCUGAAGCACGAAGGCGUGGGUAUCGAACAGG
rnacentral:rRNA from 1 species